rnacentral:rRNA from 1 species
GACGAACGCUGGCGGCGUGCCUAAUACAUGCAAGUAGAACGCUGAAGAGAGGAGCUUACUCUUCUUGGAUGAGUUGCGAACGGGUGAGUAACGCGUAGGUAACCUGCCUUGUAGCGGGGGACAACUAUUGGAAACGAUAGCUAAUACCGCAUAACAAUGGAUGACACAUGUCAUUUAUUUGAAAGGGGCAAUUGCUCCACUACAAGAUGGACCUGCGUUGUAUUAGCUAGUAGGUGAGGUAAUGGCUCACCUAGGCGACGAUACAUAGCCGACCUGAGAGGGUGAUCGGCCACACUGGGACUGAGACACGGCCCAGACUCCUACGGGAGGCAGCAGUAGGGAAUCUUCGGCAAUGGGGGCAACCCUGACCGAGCAACGCCGCGUGAGUGAAGAAGGUUUUCGGAUCGUAAAGCUCUGUUGUAAGUCAAGAACGGGUGUGAGAGUGGAAAGUUCACACUGUGACGGUAGCUUACCAGAAAGGGACGGCUAACUACGUG